AAGAAACAUUAUAUAUGUAGAAUGGGUGUAGCUGAGAUGAUGUUACGAUGGAUUGACAAGACAAGAAAAGAUAGAAUCUGAAAUAAAUAUAUUCUAGGGAAUUUUAGUGUGGUUUUUAAUAGGAGAUAAAAUCAGAGAAAGUAGACUCAAGUACACUGGCUAUAUGCAAUAUAGACUUAGUAUAGACUUAAUACAGUACUAGUUAGAAGGUGCAAUUUGAUUUAAGUGGACGGCUCUAAAAGGCUUAAAAAAUAAUAAUUGAAGUAGUGAGAAAAAAAUAUGAUGAUAUAUAGUCUUCUCAAAGGUAUUGCUUUUGAUAGAGCAGAAUAACAAUUUAUGUAGUCGACUCCAAAUAGUUAGGAUAAC
rnacentral:lncRNA from 1 species